rnacentral:lncRNA from 1 species
AUCGACCUUGCCAUGGACUUGCUGCGAGAUCAAGCUCAAAGACAUCCAAAAUCAUUUGAUAUUCAUGGUCGAGUCAUAUUAAACACCGAGUUCUUGGGUGCCAUUACCAUAGAGUAUUAGUCGCUCGAACUUAUGGGUAACGAGUACACGGUGCCAGAAUAUAUGCUCGAGUGGGUGAUAGGACUGUCACCGAGUGUCGGGGGAAAAUCAUGGGAGGGUUGUACACAUAUGUACAUUCUAGCAUGCAUCAAUAAACACUAUGUUACGCUGGAGAUCGUUUUUGCUGACUCGACUAUAUAUGUGUACGACUCAGAUCAUUCAUGUUUGACACAAGGCCAGUUGGAGCAAAACCUGGAGUCCGUGGCUGUAAUUGUUCCUAUGAUGGCCUGACGAGCGGGGAUAAAU